rnacentral:rRNA from 1 species
GUCCGCAACGAGCGCACCCUCGCCCUUAGUUGCCAGCAUUUAGUUGGGCACUCUAGGGGGACUGCCGGUGAUAAGCCGGAGGAAGGUGGGGAUGACGUCAAGUCCUCAUGGCCCUUACGGGCUGGGCUACACACGUGCUACAAUGGCGGUGACAGUGGGCAGCGACCUCGCGAGAGGAAGCUAAUCUCCAAAAGCCGUCUCAGUUCGGAUUGUUCUCUGCAACUCGAGAGCAUGAAGUUGGAAUCGCUAGUAAUCGCGUAACAGCAUGACGCGGUGAAUACGUUCCCGGGCCUUGUACACACCGCCCGUCACACCAUGGGAGUUGGUUUUACCCGAAGGCGCUGUGCUAACCGCAAGGAGGCAGGCGACCACGGUACGGUCAGCGACUGGGGUGAAGUCU